CCAAAGGCCCUCUUUAGGGCCACUAAAUUUAUAUUUUUUUAAAAAU
rfam:Parastrongyloides trichosuri strain KNP genome assembly, scaffold: PTRK_scaffold0000093